AGUUUCUUUGCAGGAAUCAGAUUAACACAACAUGAAUAUUUGCUGACUGCAAGUUCAGUUUGGACAAUGUAUAAGUCUUCGGUCAGUUAAUCCAUUAUUACUUGUGCACUUGAACUGAGUACUUUCCACAUAACCGACGCUAGGGACACCGCAGGACAUAGUUGCUGCCUCUGAGGAGCUCCCAAAUUUGCUCUCCAGAGAGGCCUCUCACCCCACCUUCCAUAGCUUUGUCUCCACUGAGUCAAAAGCUGUUAGAUCAUCUGUU
rnacentral:lncRNA from 1 species